UACGGAAGGCAGCAGUGGGGAAUAUUGCACAAUGGGCGCAAGCCUGAUGCAGCCAUGCCGCGUGUAUGAAGAAGGCCUUCGGGUUGUAAAGUACUUUCAGUUGUGAGGAAGGUGUUAAGGUUAAUAACCUUAGCAAUUGACGUUAGCGACAGAAGAAGCACCGGCUAACUCCGUGCCAGCAGCCGCGGUAAUACGGAGGGUGCGAGCGUUAAUCGGAAUUACUGGGCGUAAAGGGCACGCAGGCGGUUAAUUAAGUUGGAUGUGAAAUCCCCGGGCUUAACCUGGGAAUGGCAUUCAAGACUGGUUAGCUAGAGUCUUGUAGAGGGGGUAGAAUUCCAUGUGUAGCGGUGAAAUGCGUAGAGAUGUGGAGGAAUACCGGUGGCGAAGGCGGCCCCUGGACAAAGACUGACGCUCAUGUGCGAAAGCGUGGGGAGCAAACAGGGAUUAGAUACC
rnacentral:rRNA from 1 species